UACGGAGGGUGCAAGCGUUAUCCGGAUUCACUGGGUUUAAAGGGUGCGUAGGUGGGCAGGUAAGUCAGUGGUGAAAUCUCCGGGCUUAACCCGGAAACUGCCAUUGAUACUAUCUGUCUUGAAUACCGUGGAGGUGAGCGGAAUAUGUCAUGUAGCGGUGAAAUGCUUAGAUAUGACAUAGAACACCAAUUGCGAAGGCAGCUUA
rnacentral:rRNA from 1 species